rnacentral:lncRNA from 1 species
UUCUUGCUUUAAAAAACAACCCAGGGCAUUCCCCCUGCCACAUUCUAAAUUAAAUAGGCCACAGGCGGUUACAUUGAGGCUUCUGCAGACACGGACGUACCCUAACCCGGUAGUCAUGAAUAAAA